rnacentral:ncRNA from 18 species
ACCUUCGCCCGGAAUUUAGGUUCGACUUAGUUUAUCAGUAAAUUAAGUUGAUUAAAAGGGAAUCUAGUGCAAAUCUAGAGCUGUUCCCGCAACUGUAAGUUUAGCCAAAUCGGCACUGAUGUUUUAAAAUCAGUUCGUAGUAGGCGGUUAUCAUUUCUUCAAAAUACCACUGAGUUUAACUUGGGAAGGUGAAUGAUAGUACACAAGUCAGGAGACCUGCCAAAUUCAAAAAAAUAAUG